rnacentral:rRNA from 1 species
CCUACGGGUGGCAGCAGUGGGGAAUAUUGGGCAAUGGGCGGAAGCCUGAACCAGCAACGCCGCGUGAAGGAAGAAGGCUUUCGGGUUGUAAACUUCUUUUCUCAGGGACGAAGCAAGUGACGGUACCUGAGGAAUAAGCCACGGCUAACUACGUGCCAGCAGCCGCGGGAAUACGUAGGUGGCAAGCGUUAUCCGGAUUUACUGGGUGUAAAGGGCGUGUAGGCGGGACUGCAAGUCAGAUGUGAAAACCACGGGCUCAACACGUGGCCCGCAGUUGAAACUGUAGUUCUUGAGUACUGGAGAGGCAGACGGAAUUCGUAGUGUAGCGGUGAAAUGCGUAGAUAUUAGGAGGAACACCAGUGGCGAAGGCAGUCUGCUGGACAGCAACUGACGCUGAGGCGCGAAAGCGUGGGGAGCAAACAGGAUUAGAUACCCGUGUAGUC